UACGAAGGGGGCUAGCGUUGUUCGGAAUUACUGGGCGUAAAGCGCACGUAGGCGGCCAUUUAAGUCAGGGGUGAAAUCCCAGAGCUCAACUCUGGAACUGCCUUUGAUACUGGGUGUCUUGAGUAUGGAAGAGGUGAGUGGAAUUCCGAGUGUAGAGGUGAAAUUCGUAGAUAUUCGGAGGAACACCAGUGGCGAAGGCGGCUCACUGGUCCAUUACUGACGCUGAGGUGCGAAAGCGUGGGGAGCAAACAGG
rnacentral:rRNA from 1 species